AUCAGAGUAGAAAGCAAAGCGUCAAGUGCCGAAAGGAUGGGAUGUUGCCUUUUGGACGAAGGACAGUUGUCCGCGGUUUUGUUUUCGCAUUCGCUGCA
rfam:Tetragenococcus muriaticus 3MR10-3 WGS_Sequence039_079, whole genome shotgun sequence.